UACGUAGGGGGCAAGCGUUGUCCGGAUUUAUUGGGCGUAAAGGGCGUGUAGGCGGCCUUGUAAGUCAGAGGUGAAAACCCAGGGCUCAACCCUGGGAGUGCCUCUGAAACUGUGAGGCUUGAGUGCUCUAGAGGGCAGUGGAAUUCCCGGUGUAGCAGUGAAAUGCGUAGAGAUCGGGAGGAACACCAGUGGCGAAGGCGACUGCCUGGGGAGUAACUGACGCUGAGGCGCGAAAGCUGGGGGAGCAAACGGG
rnacentral:misc_RNA from 1 species